CGGGACACGUGGUAUCCUGUCUGAAUAUGGGGGGACCAUCCUCCAAGGCUAAAUACUCCUGACUGACCGAUAGUGAACCAGUACCGUGAGGGAAAGGCGAAAAGAACCCCGGCGAGGGGAGUGAAAAAGAACCUGAAACCGUGUACGUACAAGCAGUGGGAGCACGCUUAGGCGUGUGACUGCGUACCUUUUGUAUAAUGGGUCAGCGACUUAUAUUCUGUAGCAAGGUUAACCGAAUAGGGGAGCCGAAGGGAAACCGAGUCUUAACUGGGCGUUAAGUUGCAGGGUAUAGACCCGAAACCCGGUGAUCUAGCCAUGGGCAGGUUGAAGGUUGGGUAACACUAACUGGAGGACCGAACCGACUAAUGUUGAAAAAUUAGCGGAUGACUUGUGGCUGGGGGUGAAAGGCCAAUCAAACCGGGAGAUAGCUGGUUCUCCCCGAAAGCUAUUUAGGUAGCGCCUCGUGAAUUCAUCUCCGGGGGUAGAGCACUGUUUCGGCAAGGGGGUCAUCCCGACUUACCAACCCGAUGCAAACUGCGAAUACCGGAGAAUGUUAUCACGGGAGACACACGGCGGGUGCUAACGUCCGUCGUGAAGAGGGAAACAACCCAGACCGCCAGCUAAGGUCCCAAAGUCAUGGUUAAGUGGGAAACGAUGUGGGAAGGCCCAGACAGCCAGGAUGUUGGCUUAGAAGCAGCCAUCAUUUAAAGAAAGCGUAAUAGCUCACUGGUCGAGUCGGCCUGCGCGGAAGAUGUAACGGGGCUAAACCAUGCACCGAAGCUGCGGCAGCGACGCUGAUGCGUUGUUGGGUAGGGGAGCGUUCUGUAAGCCUGUGAAGGUGUGCUGUGAGGCAUGCUGGAGGUAUCAGAAGUGCGAAUGCUGACAUAAGUAACGAUAAAGCGGGUGAAAAGCCCGCUCGCCGGAAGACCAAGGGUUCCUGUCCAACGUUAAUCGGGGCAGGGUGAGUCGACCCCUAAGGCGAGGCCGAAAGGCGUAGUCGAUGGGAAACAGGUUAAUAUUCCUGUACUUGGUGUUACUGCGAAGGGGGGACGGAGAAGGCUAUGUUGGCCGGGCGACGGUUGUCCCGGUUUAAGCGUGUAGGCUGGUUUUCCAGGCAAAUCCGGAAAAUCAAGGCUGAGGCGUGAUGACGAGGCACUACGGUGCUGAAGCAACAAAUGCCCUGCUUCCAGGAAAAGCCUCUAAGCAUCAGGUAACAUCAAAUCGUACCCCAAACCGACACAGGUGGUCAGGUAGAGAAUACCAAGGCGCUUGAGAGAACUCGGGUGAAGGAACUAGGCAAAAUGGUGCCGUAACUUCGGGAGAAGGCACGCUGAUAUG
rnacentral:rRNA from 1 species